rnacentral:misc_RNA from 1 species
GUCGUAACAAGGUCUCCGUAGGUGAACCUGCGGAAGGAUCAUUACCACACCUAAACAAUCUUUUCAACGUGAACUAAGUCUGAGUGUAUGAAUCGCAUCUUGGAGCUAUUGGCGCAAGUCUUUGGUAACAAGUUUGAUGAUUCACGAAGGUUGGGUGAUCUUUCGAGUGAUCUCAACUGAUGUUCUUUAAAUCCAUUCCUUAAUUUCUGAAUGCCUAGAGCAGAGUGAAAGCUUUGCUUGUAAAUAAUACAACUUUCAACAGUGGAUGUCUAGGCUC